rnacentral:rRNA from 1 species
CCACCAGACUCCUACGGGAGGCAGCAGUGGGGAAUAUUGCACAAUGGGGGAAACCCUGAUGCAGCGACGCCGCGUGAGUGAAGAAGUAAUUCGUUAUGUAAAGCUCUAUCAGCAGGGAAGAAAAUGACGGUACCUGAGUAAGAAGCCCCGGCUAACUACGUGCCAGCAGCCGCGGUAAUACGUAGGGGGCAAGCGUUAUCCGGAUUCACUGGGUGUAAAGGGAGCGUAGACGGCGGCGCAAGUCUGAAGUGAAAGCCCGGGGCCCAACCCCGGGACUGCUCUGGAAACUGCGGCGCUGGAGUACGGGAGGGGCAGGCGGAAUUCCUGGUGUAGCGGUGAAAUGCGUAGAUAUCAGGAGGAACACCGGCGGCGAAGGCGGCCUGCUGGACCGUGACUGACGUUGAGGCUCGAGAGCGUGGGGAGCAAACAGGAUUAGAUACCCCCGUAGUA